rnacentral:lncRNA from 1 species
UCCGUCUAAUCGGCUUGGCCUAUCGGCCCGGCCCUAAAAAUCUCAUCAAGCUCUCACUCUUUCAGGCUCAACGGUUCAAUGUUCGCUAAUGUCCGAAGGCUUAAAAGCUUGGAAUCAGGACGGACAGGCAGAAGAGUAUAGGUUUUGAUCCCUGUGAUCCUCUCAACUCAUACUUAGGAUAAGGGUCCAGCUACAUAUGCUAAUAGUGAAAGAUCUCUUCCCCUUCAUCCCUUGCUUCUUAUUCUUUCUCUCUCAUACGAUUUAGUUACCUCGAAGAAAAAGAUAAAACUUCUUCUUAUUCCCAGGAGAAAGCUCUUUCUUAUCGAGAUUUCUCUAUCGAGAUUGAUAUUCAUAGAAUGAUCACAGAAACUGCAUCUUGCUAUCCGAUUCCUUUACCGGAGUUGGGGCUCGGUUCUCUGUUAUGAGCAUAGCGUUAAGCGACUCUUUCUAUCAUUCGGAAAAGUGGCCUAGCUAACUCUUGUAUUGAUCAAAGACUUGGGUUCACCUCUCCAUAGGAAAAGCUACCUAGCAAAGCAAACUUA